CUCUCGUUGCUUUAACCCUUUCCUUUCUCCCAGCUUUCUUUCAUUGAUUGAUGAAACACAACAAGAAUUUUUGCAUUCUACAGUCUUAGUACCCAUCAAGACUAUAUAACUAAUUACAGCUACUCCUUGCUCCUUGAUCUGGCUCUCCGCUGACGGCCGCUCCAGUUCCUUGUUCCCGCAAUCGCUCUCUGAACCUGCGUUCCAACCUAGCUAUACACGAAGGAUAGAAGGUUCUAAUCGAUCGCAGUCGCAUCAACGAUUAUUCAUUGUUUACGUCUGUGUCGUAAACCUGAUCAACAAUAACCUUUGGUGCUGUUAGAGCAGGGAAAGGGCGAUUCUCAAGCUGAAAGUAUUUUAAGUAUCCAUCACCAUUCUUGUCGCUGAAUUUACACCAUUCUCUCACUUCAUCAAUGCCACAAAGUGUAUCGCUUUAUGAUAUAGAUGGGUUAAUUUUGGAUGAUAUUUAAGAAGACAAUGAAUAAUUUUCAUUGUUCAAUGGAUUAAUAGGUACAUUAAAUUCAUAAAGAUGGAGAUUUUAGAAAAAAGAAAUUGAAGACUUUUGUUUUUAUAAGUUGUAGAUUGUAAUUUUUUAACAUUUGAUAUAAGAGCACAGUUAUAAUAGGAAUCUCAAUUAACUUGAAAUAGAAGGAACAUGCAUGAUUGCUUUGGAAGGAACAUGAUUGCUUUGUUAGGAGUCAACAGACCGGGUGGAUAAAGUAGAUCCAGUUUGUGUGCUUUAAGAAGAAUUCAUUUGAAGUGUGGAGUGGAUGAAUUUUCUCCUGGCUUGAAAUUGGUCAUUUUGUUAAGACUAAAGUAAUUUCGUUUUUGUUUUUGUAGUAAGGAAAUAGUUGUGACAUAAUUACUGUUCAAUGAUAAGUUAGGAAAUUGUUUAUUAAAACCUUGAAACUAAAUAUUUUAUAAUAUUCUAUGUUUGUU